ensembl:lncRNA
GCUAUAAAAGAUACAGAGGAAAUAAGAAUAUACAUAGAGCUUAGUUUUGAUGUCCACUAGUUCGAGUCUUCUACAUGAUAUUGAUUUGGCCACACAGGUUUAGAUGAAUUCUCUGUGUUAUGAACAUGGAAGUUGAGAGACCAGCCCUCAGAGCAAGGCACAGACAAACAGAUCUAAAAAGAAAAAUGAGGAAUGCUCUUCAUAUUUAUCUUUGAAUAAAAAUACAAUCUGAAGGGGGCACCUGGAGUUGAACCAGGGACCUCUUGAUCUGCAGUCAAAUGCUCUACCACUGAGCUAUACCCCCUUGAAGCAGCACCUGCACAAGGUGAUUUUUAAACAAGUUUAUUCACAGAACCCAGAGUUGACUGAUGUCCCUUUAGAUUCCCUUACGUCACAGCCCCUGGGCAUACCAAUGUACAUACCAUAAUGGAUAUGAGGGAGUUAUUACAGGGAAUCAAGAACAGACAAAUACAUACAACGUACUCACGCAGUGCAGAAGCCCUACCAGGCAGCUGCUCAGGAUCCUGAAUAUUACAACUUCAACACGCAGCACAAGAUCACAAGACUGAAGAGGAUGUGUCCAUCUUCUUCCUGUGAUGAGUUUUGGCAAAAGGAAAUUGGGAAAAGAAGGUAAAGAGGGGGCACCUGGAGUUGAACCAGGGACCUCUUGAUCUGCAGUCAAAUGCUCCAACAGUGGGCUGUACCCCCUCAGCUCAACAGGGAUGCAAGGAGCAUUAAAAGCAAAUGCACGGAGACCAUUUAUGUCUGCUGGUUACAGUUCCCGUAUAUCAUCUCGCUUUGAUUCCUAAUCCACAUGCUAAAGCAGCUACAGGCAGUAAGAAAUGCAUUCUGCCUUUACAUAAAAAUGUGGCGUUACUGAUGCAAGUAUUCAUUUUGACUGUACGUUUUCAGUUGAUCAGUGUCAGAAACACAAAAACAAGGGCAUGGACAGAGCAGCUGGCUCUCUGUGCAAGACAAAGGCAGACAGGGUCUAAAAACAAGGAAUGCUCCUCAUGUUUGUCUCACAAAAAGCACACAAUCCAAAGGGGGCACCUGGAGUUGAACCAGGGACCUCUUGAUCUGCAGUCAAAUGCUCUACCACUGAGCUAUACCCCCUUGGAGCAGCACCUGCACAAGGUGAUUUUUAAGCAAUCUAUGAACAGAGCCCAGAGUUGAUCCCAGCUGCUCAGAUUCCUUCACGUGACGCAGCCCUGGGUGUCCUCACACAUCCACUACCUUCUACAGAGAGCUGCUGCCAAGAGUGAAGGUCACCAGACUCCCAGAGGACAUUUAUUGGAAACAGUAUUGGCUGUGACUUCUGUGUUGCUCUGUAAUGUGAUAACCAGCAACGAGCUGAGCUCACCACAAGGCCAGAGAGGAAAAAACCUUGCUUUGAAAAGAUGUAGCCCUUCCGAAGAGGAACAGAAUAACCCUUACUGGAGACACGGAGCCGUAUUCAUCAGCCUUAUGGGGAGGUAAAAAUGAUCAAACUGUGCUUAUCACAACUCCUAUUGCUUUAAGUAUCCUGAGAAAAAUGAUAAGCCAAGGGGGCACCCGGAUUUGAACCGGGGACCUCUUGAUCUGCAGUCAAAUGCUCUACCACUGAGCUAUACCCCCUGCUGCUGCCUGCCUGCCCAGCACGAAUUUUCCGAGCCAUUCCAGACGUGAAUAAAUUCCUGCAAAUCAUUCCCAGCACAAAAAGAAAUGCUUAAGGAAACACUCAGCUCUCCACUCACCAACACUCCACUGCCAGUCCUCUUUGCGUGGCCAUGUGCUUCUCAGCACCGGGUCAUUGCUGCACCCACCAAGGGACGUCCCCUGCAGACAGCUGAGGGGAGAAAAG